rnacentral:rRNA from 1 species
GUAGUCUCGCACAGAUGCAUAUCAAUAAGCGGAGGAAAAGAAACUAACAAGGAUUCCCCUAGUAACGGCGAGUGAAGCGGGAAGAGCUCAAAUUUGAAAUCUUAAAGGGUUUCCCUUUACGAAUUGUAGUUUAAAGAAGUGUUUUCUGUUGAGGUUUUGGUAAAGGUUCUUUGGAAUAGGACAUCAUAGAGGGUGAGAAUCCCGUAUUUGACCUUUACUUUCAACUUUGUGAUACACUUUCAAAGAGUCGGAUUGGUUGGGAAUGCAGUCCAAAAUGGGUGGUAAAUUUCAUCUAAAGCUAAAUAUUGGCGAGAGACCGAUAGCGAACAAGUACCGUGAGGGAAAGAUGAAAAGAACUUUGAAAAGAGAGUUAAACAGUACGUGAAAUUGUCAAAAGGGAAGCGUUUGACACCAGUGUUGUUUUUCUGAAAAUCAAUUAAAGAACUGUUUAUGCUAAGUUGUUUAGACUUUAUCAGCUAACUGUUUAGUUUUGAGCUUUUCUUUAAUGCACUUUUCAGUUAACAAGUCAACAUCAAUUUCUUUUGCUGUAAAAAAGCUUGAGGAAGGUGGCUUGAGAUUCGUCUUAAGUGUUUAUAGCCUCUUGCCUAUGCAGUCGGAGAGAUUGAGGUCUGCAGCGUAGAUCCCUUCGGGGCUAAAUGCAUUUGUGCUAAGUUAUAGCAUUUUAUAGACAACUUGUUGACUAUGAUUUGUCUUGUAGCUUACUCGCUUAUGUUAUUUUACCUACGCUUAGGAUGUUGAUGUGAUACUGCGAGC